UAUUUUAUAUGAGAGUUUGAUCCUGGCUCAGGAUGAACGCCGGCGGUGUGCCUAAUACAUGCAAGUCGAACGCGUUGGCCCAACUG
rnacentral:rRNA from 1 species